rnacentral:rRNA from 1 species
GGGUGAGUAACACGUGGAUAACCUACCUAUAAGACUGGGAUAACUUCGGGAAACCGGAGCUAAUACCGGAUAAUAUUUUGAACCGCAUGGUUCAAAAGUGAAAGACGGUCUUGCUGUCACUUAUAGAUGGAUCCGCGCUGCAUUAGCUAGUUGGUAAGGUAACGGCUUACCAAGGCAACGAUGCAUAGCCGACCUGAGAGGGUGAUCGGCCGCACUGGAACUGAGACACGGUCCAG